rnacentral:lncRNA from 1 species
UUCAAUUUGUUAUAUCUACACAUUUGGUGUAUUACUUUAUUAUUGUAACUAUUUUGUAUUGGGUGCGAUCCCAAGGUUUCAAGAGAGGUGAUAUCUCUUGGGUUUAGAGGCUCUUCUACAAAGGAUUGUUUUGUUUGGAGAGUGCUAGCUAUCUUGUAAAGGUUACUAGCUUAUCCCGUUUAAAAGCUAGGUUAGUGAAAAUCUCAAGGGGCUUUUCCUUGGGGACUAGACGUAGGCCUUGGUGUUUUAGGCCGAACUAGGAUAAACUUCUUGUGUCUUUUUCUCUCAUCCCUUUAUCUCUUUUACUUUAUUU